GAGAAGAACGUAGCGAAAUGCGAUACUUGGUGUGAAUUGCAGAAUCCCGUGAACCAUCGAGUCUUUGAACGCAAGUUGCGCCCGAAGCCAUUAGGCCGAGGGCACGCCUGCCUGGGCGUCACACGUCGUUGCCCCCCCAUCUACUCCUUCGGGAUUGCGGGGGGCGGAUGAUGGCCUCCCGUGCGCCUCGCCGCGCGGUUGGCAUAAAUGCCAAGUCCUCGGCGACGCACGCCACGACAAUCGGUGGUUGCGAAACCUCGGUUGCCCGUCGUGUGCGGUCGUCGCGCAUCGAGGGCUCGAAAAAAUUGCCGGGUUCCGGCUCGGCUUUCAACGCGACCCCAGGUCAGGCGGGGUUACCCGCUGAAUUUAAGCAUAUCAAUAAGCGGAGGA
rnacentral:misc_RNA from 1 species